GACGAACGCUGGCGGCGUGCCUAAUACAUGCAAGUCGAGCGCAGGAAACUGACGGAACUCUUCGGAGGGAAGGCAGUGGAAUGAGCGGCGGACGGGUGAGUGACACGUAAGGAACCUGCCUCAAGGAUUGGGAUAACUCCGAGAAAUCGGAGCUAAUACCGGAUAGUUCAACGGACCGCAUGGUCCGCUGAUGAAAGGCGCUCCGGUGUCACCUUGAGAUGGCCUUGCGGUGCAUUAGCUAGUUGGUGGGGUAACGGCCCACCAAGGCGACGAUGCAUAGCCGACCUGAGAGGGUGAUCGGCCACACUGGGACUGAGACACGGCCCAGACUCCUACGGGAGGCAGCAGUAGGGAAUCUUCCACAAUGGACGAAAGUCUGAUGGAGCAACGCCGCGUGAGUGAUGAAGGUUUUCGGAUCGUAAAACUCUGUUGUAAGGGAAGAACACGUACGAGAGGAAAUGCUCGUACCUUGACGGUACCUUACGAGAAAGCCACGGCUAACUACGUGCCAGCCGCCGCGGUAA
rnacentral:rRNA from 1 species